CUUUUAGUUGCCAACGAUGACAACUACGGUUCGGACUUCGCUAUCGCCGCUUAAUUGGCUUUAGUUGUCGUUCUACAGCCGCCUAAGGCGAACCCCCGAACCUACUUGUGCCCGUGCUCGUAGGUGUAGGGUCAUUAUCACGGAACCAUCGGUAGUGGCUGCCUGUCAGCUACCGGUUAGAUAAAGCAGGCUGGUUUUCAGGUGCGCUUUGCCAACCGUGCUGCCUGGGAAUGAGAUCUAACGGAGGGCUAAGCAUGUAGUGCUGGGGAUGGAGUGCUUCCGGA
rnacentral:tmRNA from 1 species